UACGAAGGGGGCUAGCGUUGCUCGGAAUCACUGGGCGUAAAGGGUGCGUAGGCGGGUCUUUAAGUCAGGGGUGAAAUCCUGGAGCUCAACUCCAGAACUGCCUUUGAUACUGAAGAUCUUGAGUCCGGGAGAGGUGAGUGGAACUGCGAGUGUAGAGGUGAAAUUCGUAGAUAUUCGCAAGAACACCAGUGGCGAAGGCGGCCCGCUGGGCAGUGGCUGACGCUGAAGCGCGACAGCGUGGGGAGCAACAGG
rnacentral:rRNA from 1 species